GAAUGAAUAUGUUCUUCAUAUUUAUUCUCCUACAAUUUCAGGAUACUGUUUUUCUAUUAAUAUAACUCUGGCUGGUGGGAGAUAUGAAGAGCCUAGGAAAUGGAAAAGAAAGAAACAUCUGGAACACACAGGCCACAAUGAAAGGACUCCUGGAAAACCACGAGGUGGCCCUCCCAAACACUAAGACCGGAAUGUGGUUUUCCCCGGAAAAGAAGAAUCAUCAGAUGUCUGGAGGCUUGCACAGAAAGAGAAAGAUGGAGAAAGAGAGAGAUUUAAUUUAAAGUGAGUACAUCUGAUGCUCCUGCUCAGCGAUCACAGCUGAAGUGGCAGUGUUGAUUUUUUCUGCUGUAUGUCAUCCAAAGACAUUUUAAAGACCAGGUAUUGUAUCAAUGUAAA
rnacentral:lncRNA from 13 species